GUGGAGGUGUACUGUACCUAAGGACACAGGGUGGAGGUGUACUGUACCCAAGGACACAGGGUGGAGGUGUACUGUACCCAAGGACACAGGGUGGAGGUGUACUGUACCCAAGGACACAGGGUGGAGGUGUACUGUACCCAAGGACACAGGGUGGAGGUGUACUGUACCCAAGGACACAGGGUGGAGG